AGCGAACGCUGGCGGAAUGCUUAACACAUGCAAGUCUCACGGGCAGCAAUGUCAGUGGCGGACGGGUGAGUAACGCGUAGGAAUGUGUCCUGGGAUGGGGGAUAACGUCGGGAAACUGGCGCUAAUACCGCAUAUGGCCUUUGGGUCAAAGCCGCGAGGCGUCUGGGGAGCAGCCUGCGUCCGAUUAGCUUGUUGGUGAGGUAAAGGCUUACCAAGGCGACGAUCGGUAGCUGGUCUGAGAGGAUGGUCAGCCACACUGGAACUGAGACACGGUCCAGGCUCCUACGGGAGGCGGCAGUGGGGAAUAUUGGACAAUGGGCGAAAGCCUGAUCCAGCAAUUCCGCGUGGGUGAAGAAGGUCUUCGGAUUGUAAAGCCCUUUCGACAGGGACGAUGAUGACGGUACCUGUAGAAGAAGCCCCGGCUAACUUCGUGCCAGCCGCCGCAGUAAAAC
rnacentral:rRNA from 1 species